rnacentral:rRNA from 1 species
AUUGAACGCUGGCGGCAUGCUUUACACAUGCAAGUCGAACGGUAACAGGCCUUCGGGUGCUGACGAGUGGCGAACGGGUGAGUAAUGCAUCGGAACGUACCCAGAGGUGGGGGAUAACGCAGCGAAAGCUGUGCUAAUACCGCAUGUGAUCUGAGGAUGAAAGCGGGGGACCGAGCAGCUAUGUUUGGCCUCGCGCCUUUGGAGCGGCCGAUGUCGGAUUAGCUAGUUGGUGGGGUAAAGGCCUACCAAGGCGACGAUCCGUAGCUGGUCUGAGAGGACGACCAGCCACACUGGGACUGAGACACGGCCCAGACUCCUACGGGAGGCAGCAGUGGGGAAUUUUGGACAAUGGGCGCAAGCCUGAUCCAGCAAUGCCGCGUGCGGGAAGAAGGCCUUCGGGUUGUAAACCGCUUUUGGCAGGAACGAAACGGUGUCCGCUAAUACCGGGCGCUAAUGACGGUACCUGCAGAAUAAGCACCGGCUAACUACGUG